rnacentral:rRNA from 1 species
CGUGACGCAGCUAACGCAUUAAGCACCCCGCCUGGGGAGUACGGUCGCAAGACUAAAACUCAAAGGAAUUGACGGGGGCCCGCACAAGCAGCGGAGCAUGCGGAUUAAUUCGAUGCAACGCGAAGAACCUUACCAAGGCUUGACAUAUAGAGGAAACCUGCAGAAAUGUAGGCCCCAGCAAUGGUCUCUAUACAGGUGGUGCAUGGUUGUCGUCAGCUCGUGUCGUGAGAUGUUGGGUUAAGUCCCGCAACGAGCGCAACCCUCGUCCUAUGUUGCCAGCACGUAAUGGUGGGAACUCAUGGGAGACUGCCGGGGUCAACUCGGAGGAAGGUGGGGAUGACGUCAAAUCAUCAUGCCCCUUAUGUCUUGGGCUUCACGCAUGCUACAAUGGCCGGUACAAAGGGCAGCAAUACCGCAAGGUGGAGCGAAUCCCAAAAAGCCGGUCUCAGUUCGGAUUGGGGUCUGCAACUCGACCCCAUGAAGUUGGAGUUGCUAGUAAUCGUAGAUCAGCAACGCUACGGUGAAUACGUUCCCGGGCCUUGUACACACCGCCCGUCAAGUCACGAAGUCGGUAACACCCGAAGGCCGGUGGCCUAACCGUAAGGAAGGAGCCGUCGAAG